ensembl:lncRNA
AUCGAAUGUGAACUUUGGCACUUCUGAGCCGGACACCACCUGGAAUGUGGGCCAAACUGGGAUCUGUCUCAAAGGUGCGGUCAUAUGACUGAAUGAGAGUCAACAGAGGUGAACAUGGUCUCCUAAAACUCACUCGACGGCUUUCUUGGUGUGAUCUUGAAUGAUCCGAGCCUGCUGGGGGAGAUCAGAAGCUCGCACGGGGGGAGAUGGGAGGUUUUGGGAACAGACGUGUUGUUGUUGUAGCGUAGGGAGCAGGAGAGAUGACUUUGCUGUGUGGAGUUCGUCUGUGGAUGCGGAGCGAUUGAGAAACUUUUCUUCAUAUGUGCGCGCUGUGAUCGGGAAAAAACUACAGGCACACAUGGAGGCUAUGAAGAGCAGGGAGCUUGGAGCAGCAGAGAAGACGAGCUCCAGCAGCCGCUGCCAGAGGAGGGUAGCGGCGGUCAGCAGUCCUUCCGUGUCCGGGGCACGUCUCACUUUACCUGGGGUCAUGGACGCCGAGGGGAGGGUCGACGAGUCAAGACUGAGGAUGCACAUCUUCAAAAACGGUGGUGUGUGUCCGUCUGAGCGAGGCCUGGCAUGGCGUUUUGUCUUCGGGAUGUACCCGUGCAGCUCCACAGCGUUGGAGCGCUCCCUGCUGCAUGAGCAGCUGCUCGUACGUUACCAAGCCAUGAAAAAAAAGUGGCAGCAGUUCCUUCCCCAGGCUGUGCGGAUGCACCUCAAUGGCACUGAUGCUGAGUUGAUAGCAGCUGUCAAGUACUUUGACCAGAGGGAGGCAGAGGCCCAGCAGCAGACCCAGGAUCAGUGUGAGGAGGUCAGAGACAGGCUGACCUUUUUGGAGCUCCAGGCUCAGAUAUUAUUUGAGCGGGUCACAUUUGAGCAUGAUGAGCUGCGGGAAGCCAUACGAAUCAUUGACAAGGAUGCUCCUCGGACCAACAGAGACCUGAGCUAUUACCAGAAUGAAGGAUUAGGCAAUCUGUUGGUGUUGAGAGACAUCCUCAUCACAUAUGCUGCUUUUCAUCCAGGUAAUCGGCCACAAUGAGUCCCUUGCAGGGUUAUUGACUCUGACCUGAUCAGUCAGGUUCAGGGGCUUAUUGGUUUUGGUUUGUUUGGUUUGUUUUGGUUUGUUUGCAUCAAUAAAAUAAAAUAACUGUGCAACACUUGAUUAUUGAUCCAGAGGUCAGUUACGCCCAGGGAAUGAAUGACCUGUGCAGCCGCUUCCUGGAGGUGCUUGACUCUGAGGUGGAUACUUUUUGGAGCUUUUCUUGCUACAUGGAGAAAUUCUCAAAGGACUUCAGGGCUGAUGGUCUUCACAGAAAAAUAGGUGGGAAAACACUGCUGCACUUUGCCUGUAAGACCUCACAGAUGCAUAGGGAGCAACAGUGACUUGUUGAUAUAGAUUUUUAGAUGACCUCUA